rnacentral:rRNA from 1 species
AUACGUAGGUGGCAAGCGUUGUCCGGAAUUACUGGGUGUAAAGGGCGUGUAGGCGGGAGGACAAGUCAGAUGUGAAAGCCCAUGGCUUAACUGUGGAAUUGCAUCUGAAACUGUUUUUCUUGAGUGCUGGAGAGGAAAGUGGAAUUCCUAGUGUAGCGGUGAAAUGCGUAGAGAUUAGGAGGAACACCAGUGGCGAAGGCGGCUUUCUGGACAGUAACUGACGCUGAGGCGCGAAAGCGUGGGGAGCAAACAGGAUUAGAUACCCUGGUAGUCCACGCUGUAAACGAUGGAUACUAGGUGUGGGAGGUAUCGACCCCUUCCGUGCCGGAGUUAACACAAUAAGUAUCCCACCUGGGGAGUACGGCCGCAAGGCUGAAACUCAAAUGAAUUGACGGGG